rnacentral:rRNA from 1 species
UACAGAGGUCUCAAGCGUUGUUCGGAUUUCAUUGGGCGUAAAGGGUGUGUAGGUGGCGCUGUAAGUCGGGUGUGAAAUCUCGGGGCUUAACUCCGAAACUGCAUUCGAUACUGCGGUGCUUUGAGGACUGGAGAGGAGACUGGAAUUCAUGGUGUAGCAGUGAAAUGCGUAGAUAUCAGGAGGAAUACCGAUGGCGAAGGCAGGUCUCUGGGCUGGACACUUGACUCAUGCACGAAAAGCGUGGGGGAGCAAACAGG